AGGGAUGCCAACUUAGAAACGGUACAGGGAAGAUUCUUAAGCCUUUUGCAGUUCAUUAGAUCCAAAGUAGAGAGUCUACGAAGACAACCAAUUGAGGAAGGAAGCUCUUCUAUUGCAGUAUCACUUAAGUACAAAUAUCUGACAUUCUCAGAAAAAUCCGGAAACCUGGUGACAUUCAAGCAGCCAGAGAUAUCAACAAUUAUAAGAGACUUCAUAAAACAGACAUUGUCUGGAAGAUUCCCAAGUUGUUUACAGUCCUUCAAAUUCAAUGCAACAAGUCCACUGAGGUACCCAAUUGAUCGGGAAAGUUCUUCUACUGCAGUCCCAUUUAAAUUCAGAUACGUCAAGUUCCCUUUAAUUUCUG
rnacentral:misc_RNA from 1 species